AAAAAUAUGGUAAAUAGAGAGAAGAGUGAUGUGCGAGUACGGAUAUAGCUGGGAAGAGAAGCGGAGGGCGAGUAGUAGGAUUUGCCCACUCUCGUUAGUAGUUAUAGUAGGCCAUCCAAUCCGUCAAUCUUAUACUCCAUGCUUCCUAUGACCCUCAACUUCACGCCCUCAGACUCUCUCAGCUCCAAAUCAAAACGAUCAGUUUUGAGUUUCCAAGAACCGUUCUAAUUCUCUCUCUUA
rnacentral:lncRNA from 1 species